AAUGAACGUUGGCGGCGUGGAUUAGGCAUGCAAGUCGAGCGUGAUAGGUUUGGUGCUUGCAUUAAACCUUGAAAGCGGCGAAAGGGACAGUAACGCGUAGAUACCUACCUCCAGGUCCGGGAUAGCGGCGGGAAACUGCCGGUAAUACCGGAUAAUGUCUUCGGACCAAAGGUGUGAUUCCGCCGGGAGACGGAUCUGCGUCCUAUUAGCUAGUUGGUGGGGUAAUGGCCCACCAAGGCGAUGAUGGGUAGCGGGCGUGAGAGCGUGGCCCGCGUCACUGGGACUGAGACACUGCCCAGACACCUACGGGUGGCUGCAGUCGAGAAUCUUCGGCAAUGGGCGCAAGCCUGACCGAGCGACGCCGCGUGCGGGAUGAAGGCCUUCGGGUUGUAAACCGCUGUCGGAGAGGCGGAAAUCUCUAGGGGUUCUCCCCUAGAGUUGACCUAAUCUCGGAGGAAGUCCGGGCUAAGUUCGUGCCAGCAGCCGCAGUAA
rnacentral:rRNA from 1 species